rnacentral:lncRNA from 1 species
UAUAUAUAUUCAUAUAUAUACUGUAUUCAUCUACCAUUUAAAGAUCAUGUCAUAGUUUCUGAAUAUGUGGAGCUAGGAUUCUAAAUGAAAGAAUAAAGGGAACCAUGGACUUGGAUGGUUUUAAAGUAUGCUUCUUUGCAAUUUUGAGAGGAAAGUUAGAAAAGAACUGCAAAAAUGAUGUAUGAAUGUAAUCACUCUGUUUCGUAGCCUUUGUUUUCUGUUCCUUUUUUCUUGACCUCGAGCCAGUUUUUAUUCUGUUAUAUACAACUCUUUCUAGUAGAACGGAUUUACGUUCCUUGCAGCCUGGACUUGGCCCCUGAAGAGAUAUUAGAGGAACAGUUUAAUGGUUAACGAGUUAUGUUGGAAGGUGAGGUUGCUGAGGCAGAACAGGACACAGUUGUUCAGACUAGUUGCUUGGGGAGCAAAGUUGUCUGGAUGGUGUAAGUUUAACUUAAUGGCUUUGGCAGUGGCUGAAGGCAGAGGUUAAAGCAUGUCUUAGAGUGGGACAGAGUGAAAGGGCUGCUGCUCUGGAGUUCAAUUGUAGUUCAGUUGCUCACAGUUUCCAUUUUAUCUUCAACUAACUUAGGAUCCUCUUGUAGUUUUGGGGCUCAUAGAACUCUAAAAAAGAUGCACUCCAAACCCCAUAACAAAAGAUUUUAAAACAGUCAGGCCCUAAAGGAAAUAUGUGUGAAGAUAAUGGAAACCAGGAUGCUUCAGGCAGGUCCUUCAGGAAUGUUCCAGAAGAAAGCAUUGUUACCACAGGAGAUGACAGCUCCAUGUAUGUUAUUGCCCCUGAAGACUUUCCAGUGGGACAAAAUGUGGAGGAAGAAGACACUGAUAUGACAACUGCUUCACAACAUUAUUGUGAAGAAAGAUGA